GACGAACGCUGGCGGCGUGCCUAAUACAUGCAAGUAGGACGCAGUUGCGAACGGGUGAGUAACGCGUAGGUAACUACCUAUUAGAGGGGGAUAACUAUUGGAAACGCUAGCUAAUACCACAUACUAGUAGAUGGACCUGCGUUGUAUUAGCUAGUAGGUAUGGUAAUGACAUACUUAGGCAACGAUACAUAGCCGACCUGAAGGGGUGAGCGGCAACGCUGUGACUGAGAAACGGGACAGACUCCUACGGGAGACAGCAGUAAGGAAUCUUCGGCAAUGGGGAGAACGCUGACCGAGCAACGCCGCGUGAGUGAGGAAGGUUUUCGGAUCGUAGAGAUCUGUUGUUAAGGAAGCGGUACUUAACCAGAAAAGGACGGCUAACUACGUGCCAGCAGCCGCGGUAAUAC
rnacentral:rRNA from 1 species